AAAUGCUUCAGAUUUCCAAGGCUAUGCUGAAACCAGCUGACCCAGUGCUUGUGCGUAUCCUGACUGUGGGCUCGUGUGUUCCUGCUCAGUCUGUGAUGACUGAAUGAAUGAGUUCAUUUCGUAGUAUGGCCAAGAGUUUGGAAAUCCCCUAUCCUGAAGAACUUAUAAAAUAGAUCCUGU
rnacentral:lncRNA from 1 species